rnacentral:rRNA from 1 species
AGCCAUGCAUGUUUCCGCAAUCAGGGACGAAUAGCUCAGUAAAACUGCGAUGAUUUAGUCUGGCUGUGUAGAUAACUACGUGAAAAUGUAGCUAAGGGAAGGCAGAAUAAGACGCAGGACUAUCAGUUAGUUGGUAGUGUAAUGGACUACCAAGACAGUGACGGUUGACGGGAAAUUAGGGUUUUGUACCGGAGAGGGAGCCUGAGAGAUUGCUCCCACGUCCAAGGACGGCAGCAGGCGCGAAAAUUGCCCACUCUUUGCAGGAGGCAGUUAUGAGACGUGAAGAUGAGUAUCUUGUAAAGAGGGAUAGGAGAAUUGGAGGGCAAGUUUGGUGCCAGCAGCCGCGGUAAUACCGACUCCAAGAGUGUGUAUGAGAGAUGCUGCAGUUAAAAAGUCCGUAGUCAUAGAAGGGCAAAGAGAGAUGCGAGGUCUCACAGUGCGAUGAUGGAGGAGCCGAUGGGGAACAUAGUAUACCAGGGCGA